CCUACUCUGCGUCUCAGAAAGACAUGGUGGUUGGAACCAAAAAUAAAAAAUAAAAAAUUUGGACAGAUUUCCACCGGUCUAAUGUCCGUUGCUUGUGUUUCUUGGCCCAAGCAAUUCUCUUCUCAGGGAUGCAAACUACUCACUUUUAGGUGAAGUUGGCCAUUUUGAAUCCAAAAUAGGGGACCUAUAUGAUUUGUGUAGAUCCAAUGAGAAAUGCCUUUGAUCACUACUGUCUGUAAGUGAGUGAGUGAUGCACGUUUGGAGCAAUAAUGUACUUUAUCCAAGGCUCAGCCAAUCGUUCACAUGACAACAGAAUGCAGCACACGACUGAAGAGAGUGGAGACAACCACUUUGCUAGUUACAGCAUCCGCGCACGCUCUGGAAAGACAGCAGAGAGUGGAAAGGCAGUUUGCCAGUUACAGCAGCGCAGCGUGUCCCCUGAAAGAUAACGAAGAGGUAGGUGAGAAGCCUAACCACGGAGAUGGGGUGAGAAGGUGAUGAAGCAUACUUCAUCAGCUGUAACCGAAAAACUACUACUGGCAUUUGGAAAGAUUGAGUUUUGACCCAAUUAUUCAUCUGGCAUGGAUCAAGGCUGGCGAGACAUUCAAUAAUGUCAUCUUUACAGACAAAUCAACCGUGGCCCUUGAGCAAUUUGCUCACAGAUGAACUGAUCAAGGCCAUCAAGAUGUUUUGGCUAGAGAAAUUGACGAUUCAACAAUGCAACAUCAUCAUCUCAUCAAGGUUUUACCUGUGGUCGUGGAGAUGGGUGGAAUGUAGGUUAUACAAACAUCUGCAUUUGAAUGUCUUUUUUCUCGUUAUUUAAUUUUAUUAACAAAAGCAUAAAUAUGUUGCUGAAUAAAUACUGUACUGCUGUUUUGAGUUGGAAAUGUAACACUUUAGAGUACUUAAGUAUCGAAUACAUUGCAAGUUGGGGUAUUUUUCCCAACAGUAGCCGGGUUAUAAAAAGUAUAUUGUCCUGCUAAUCGGAAACAUUUGCAUGAUGGGCUACACCUGCUACAGUUGUGAAAAACAAGUGUUUGAAAACCUGUGUUCAAAAUGCCUCCAGUUGUCCAUCACUACUGUAAAUAAAAACGCAGCAUCUUGUUUACAUCUUGUUAACAUUCUUUACUGUGUCACACAUAAUUUGUAUCUACCUCUCCAAUUACUUUUAGAGUUUGGCAUUUACGAAUGUGUGCUUUUAAUUAUUAGUUACAUUGUUUAAAUCGAAUGUGCAGACUUUUUUUCUUUAAAUUAUUGUGGUAUGUAGGAUGCUACAUUUUUGAACAUUUGCAAUUGCAAGAGGCCUAAUAAAGCCUCAUAGCCUACCGAAGAAAUUGACUCCAAUUAAGCCCUCUUGUUGUUUGUAAAGUCAAAAUAAAAUGAAGAUUAUUGUU